rnacentral:rRNA from 1 species
UGCGUAGGUGGUUUCUUAAGUCAGGAGUGAAAGGCUACGGCUCAACCGUAGUAAGCUCUUGAAACUGGGAAACUUGAGUGCAGGAGAGGAAAGUGGAAUUCCUAGUGUAGCGGUGAAAUGCGUAGAUAUUAGGAGGAACACCAGUAGCGAAGGCGGCUUUCUGGACUGUAACUGACACUGAGGCACGAAAGCGUGGGGAGCAAACAGGAUUAGAUACCCUGGUAGUCCACGCCGUAAACGAUGAGUACUAGGUGUCGGGGGUUACCCCCCUCGGUGCCGCAGCUAACGCAUUAAGUACUCCGCCUGGGGAGUACGCUCGCAAGAGUGAA